CUGGAUGGCUUACUUGGUAGAGCAUGCGACUCUUAAUCUCAAGGUUGUGAGUUCAAGCCCCACUUUGG
rnacentral:tRNA from 1 species